AAUCAACGCUGGCGGCGUGCCUCAGACAUGCAAGUCGAACGAUUAAAGCUCUCUUCGGAGAGUGUAUAGAGUGGCGCACGGGUGAGUAACACGUAAGUAAUCUACCCUCGGGUGGGGAAUAACAUCGGGAAACCGAUGCUAAUACCGCAUAAUGCAGCGGCUCCUAAUGGAGACAGUUGUUAAAGGAUUUAUUCGCCUGGGGAGGAGCUUGCGGCAGAUUAGCUAGUUGGUAAGGUAAUGGCUUACCAAGGCUACGAUCUGUAGCCGGUCUAAGAGGACGGUCGGUCACACUGACACUGAAUAACGGGUCAGACUCCUACGGGAGGCAGCAGUCGGGAAUUUUGGGCAAUGGCGAAAGCCUGACCCAGCAACGCCGCGUGAAGGAUGAAGUAUUUCGGUAUGUAAACUUCGAAAGAAUAGGAAGAAUUAAUGACGGUACUAUUUAUAAGGUCCGGCUAACUACGUGCCAGCCGCCGCUGUAAG
rnacentral:rRNA from 1 species